AUGCCUGAGACAACCUUCAGGAUCGUAAACGUGCAACAGCUUUGUACCAGGUAAAUGUGUGAGCAAACAGAUCAGAGGCUCUACCUGCCAGGUGGCUCUCCAGGUGUGUCCUGUGAUUCCCCACGCUCGCCUGCAGGCUGCACUGUUGCCGUGGUUAUCUCCCAGGCUACCACAGCAGGCAAUUCAAACAGGUUGUGUCAAAGCUGCAGGUAGGCACCGAAUCUGCACCAGCCAAGGCUGAAAAUGGUUGCAGCCGCGAGAACUGUGGACUCUGAGAAGCAAGGAAAGGAGCCCACUCAGAGCUCCAAGAGUGCGCAUGCGUGGAGGACUGAAGCAUGGGUAUCUUUCAUGGCCACAUUCCUGAAGAAAACAGAUGCUGGUGCCAGGCCCAGGAAAGGACCAGGAACAAGGUUCUCCACACAUCCUCCAUCCGUGCGUUCCAGGGCUCGUGGGUUUGCUUUAGCCAAAACCUCGAACGAGCCACAUCCUUGUGUUCUUGACUGUGAUGAGGUCUUUUAUUGCAUUUAUAAAUGUUCCCCCUGGGGCUAUUACUCAAAAGGGUUCAUCUAAUGAAUAAGACAACUAAC
rnacentral:lncRNA from 1 species